ACUGCGAGUGUUAGAGUCCAGCUUGCAAAAUAAUACUCCCUGUGUGUACAAUACAUCCACAAUCCACAGUUUACUCUUCGUAAAAAUUAAUGCAAAGUACUUACCUUGCUUCUUCCUAAUCCCACAUGUCAAGUCAUUUUUUUCAUUUGGUUUACCUCAUUACCACAUAAUCUAUUGUCUGAGCAAAAUUUCUAUGCAGAGCUUCAUCUUGGAGUUGUACAUUAUUUUAGCCUUGUAAAAUUCGCCCCAUGCACACACUGGUGGCACAUGAGGGUCUUGUAUGAAAAUUCCUAAAUCUCUGGUUAGUAUGUGUAAAUCCAAUCUGUUCAUCGUAUAGCGAAUACCAUUUCAAAGUUUCAUUGUCUCACUCCCUGGACGAAAUAUAUGAUGUACUCAACAUUUUUUUCUUUCCCCUGCAGGUGUUCUUUGCUCAUUCUGGUUGGUUCUUAGAUACUUUACAUUUACAUUUUGGUCGUCUUCCAUGAUGACUUGAUAGUAUGCUUGGCUUAUUCGACUGUGAUGGUCAAAAGAUCACCAUGGAAUAAUAUGGUGGAAGCAAGGAGAUCUGGUGACUUUCUACUGAAAUUAAGGUCAGCCGUUUUUAAAACUCGGUGCUGCACCAGAUGAAGAUAGAAGGUGUUCUUGCAUAUGUCUUAAUUGUUGUUGCUUAACAGAAUUUAAUGGAUGCAGGAACUUUACAAGAAUACCCCUCAUUUCGAAUGAUUGCUGGUGUGCAGCGAAUUCAGAUCUCCUCUUGUUAUUAACUGGUAUGGCCAAUGUUCUCCUUUUCAUCCAUAUAGAAGUCUACAAGAUAACUUGUGUAACCCUUUAGACUAAACUAUGGUUCUUGGGUUCUUGAUAGAUGUGGCAUGUGGCACAACUUUGGAACUUGAUGAUGUACAGGCACAUGUUUGUUAAUGUACAACCCUUUUGUGCUGAUGCAAGGUUAGCAAACCCCUGCCGAAAUUCAUGAUCGCUUUAGCUAUGCUAGAUUGUAUUCAGUGUGUGAUUGUCAAACUCAUAUUGCCUCGUGAGACCUAGGUUAGAGAACUUGUUGCUUUCUUGAUAAGUUGGUAGUCUAGCUUUUGAGCACACUCAUAAUCUCUGAAUUCAUUGCCAUGCUGAAUUAAAUGACAUAAGAGAGUUUUCAGCUGAUACAUAUAGUCGUAAAGGUAGAGAACACUUAUUAUUAGGGAUUGAUGAACAUCGAUUGAGCAAAAAAGGCUCGAGUUUGCUAAUUUUUAUUCAUAGAACCACCUGAGUUAAGCAUGGUGAAGGUGAUUUUAUUCUCUUAUUGGCCAGAGUAAUUUUUUUUUCUAUCCCACCAAUGCCAAAAACAGAGCACAAUUCAUUAGCCUUUGAUUAUUGCAAUCUGAAUAUUUAGUGCGUAUUGUUAAGUUUGAUGUUCCUCUAGUCUGAAGUCUUCGAAAUCCAGUCAAUCUUUUUGCGUAACUUAUAUUUUGCUAGCCUCUUCAACACUCGGCAUUGCAUUCCCUCAUCGGGAUAUCACAAACUCUGCCGGUGUACAUAUACAAAUCCCUGAAAAUAAACCAUUUCUUCCAUGUGUUCACACCAUACCUACCUACCUAUAUAGCACAUCUCUCCCUAUCCCACAGUAGUUGAUUAUUCCAUACGCACACUCAUCAAGUGAAAGAAGACUCAAAAGCGCUUUGUUGUCAUUGACCCUGCAAAUUUCAUAUUAUGAAGAGCUAUAUUCGUCAAUAUUGAUGACUCUCUCACAAAAAUCAAAAAAAAAGUGAGGGUCGUCAUUCAAAAGAUCAAGGGUUCAAAAGAUCAAGAAAUAGUCAGCAUUGCUUCCAUAUUCAUGAGCAGAAUUCAGAAUGGCUAAUCAAACUACUACCUAUGCAAUAUUGAUAGCUUGAGCAUUAGUCGCAUUCUGGGAUCACCUUGCAUUGCACAGGCAUCUCAUCAUUUCUUUGGCGUGAGUCCAUUCCCUCCCACCUCCCCUGGGCACUACCUUUCUCCAAUGACUGGAAUGUGAAGACUUCUUUGUACUAGAGUGGAACACUUAUUUAGCUUUACUAUCUAGAUUUCAGUUUUGCUCAUUCUUUGAAUUACCCUACCAAGCUUCAGAUAAGCUUUCCACAAAUAUAAAGUAGAUAGAAAACACUUCGGCCACUGGCCAGUGAGGACUAUAAUUAUGCGAUCGAUGAGAGUAAUUCCAGAUCAUGACGAGGUAAUCUCACUAGAUACCUGCUCUUGGAAGGUUCACAAAGGAAUAAAACUGUUGGCUGCUUGUGUUCUCUUUUGUUCUUGAAAUUGAAGUCAAACCUCCUAGUGAUUGUUUUCAAAAACUUUCAUGGCUAUAUUGUUGAUUCUGUUCACUCUCAUAAAAUGGAACCCGUUCCAUAGUGGCAAUGAAUAGGAGUUGUUAUUUAAGCUUGUGCUCAAUUGCUAGCCUGCUACUUUGAUAAGUUUGUGGGAAGUGUCUCGAUCCAAAGUUUAUGAGGAUUUUAAUAAUUGUUUGCACAUGAGCACUUGUCUGCAAUCUCGCUAUGCUAAGCUUUCAGGUGUUUCACAAGCACAUGGGCAAGUUGAAUCACGAGGGAAGAAUCAGAAAGGGAGAAACCUGAGAUGAACCAUACCCUUUGUUUGUCUUUGCAGCCUGAGAUGAAGAGCCUAUAAGGAAGAGAGGAUACUUUUUUCGCAGUCAUUUCCUUGUAGCUUCAGUUUGUAGUAGGUUUCGAUGAGUGGUACGAAAACAGGACAAUUUUUUUGUCAUUCGUUUUCUCAGUGUGGGCAUGUAUAUUCAGUGAAAUGAAAUGCAGUUCUUUGCAAUACUUCUUCAUAUCUGAACCUAUGCUUGGGUGUCACUUUUGGCUGUCUGUGCUAACGCAUAAUUAAAUAAAGACACC
rnacentral:lncRNA from 1 species